GCAGUUAUGAAUAUUCAUGUACAUGUCUCCUGGAACACUUGAGCAAGACUUACUCCUGGAUAUUUGCCCAAAAAUGGAACUGCUGGGUUUUAAGACAGAGUCUCGCCCCGUCACCCAGGCUGGAAAAUCUCAGCUCACUGCAACCUCCGCCUCCCGGAUUCAAGUGAUUCUCCCGCCUCAGCCUCCUGAGUAGCUGGGACUACAGGAGUCAGCCACCAUGCCCAGCUUUUUGUAUUCUGUAGUAGAGACAGGGUUUCACCAUGUUGACCAGGCUGAUCUUGAACUCCUGACCUCAGGGAUGUACCCAUCUUGGCUUCCCAAAGUUCUGGGAUCACAGGCGUGAACCACCACGCCUGGCCUUCGUGUUUGAGUCACAUUUGGUUAAUUCUCCCAUUAUCUCAAACUUUUCCAUUAUUGUAUCUAUUAUAGUGAUCUGUGAUCUUUGAUGUUACUAUUGUAAUUGCUUUGGGGUGCCACAAACAGUGCCCAUGUAAGAGGGCGAACUCAAUCAAUAAAUGUGUGUUAACUGUUCUCUCUCUGUGCUUGGGCCUCCCUCUUCCCAGAGACAAUAUUCAAACUAGGCCAAUUAAUAACACCCUACAAUGGCCUCUAAGUGUUCAAGUGAAAGGAAGAGGCAAUCAAGGAGGCAAAGUUCCUUGUUGUCAAGAAACCGCCGUCAUCCCAGCCUUCACCGACCACCACCUCAGUCAGUCAGCAGCCAUCACCAAUGAGGCAAGAACUUCCACCAGCAAAAAGAUUACGACUUGCAAAAGCUCAGAUGACUGUUAGCAUUUAAAAAAUUAAGGGAUGUACCGUUUUCAUAGACAUAACACUAUUGCUCACUUAAGACUGCAGUAUUGUGGA
rnacentral:lncRNA from 1 species